GAGGAAUAUUGGUCAAUGGGCGAUGGCCUGAACCAGCCAAGUAGCGUGAAGGAUGACUGCCCUAUGGGUUGUAAACUUCUUUUAUAUGGGAAUAAAGUGAGCCACGUGUGGCUUUUUGUAUGUACCAUACGAAUAAGGAUCGGCUAACUCCGUGCCAGCAGCCGCGGUAAUACGGAGGAUCCGAGCGUUAUCCGGAUUUAUUGGGUUUAAAGGGAGCGUAGAUGGAUGUUUAAGUCAGUUGUGAAAGUUUGCGGCUCAACCGUAAAAUUGCAGUUGAUACUGGAUGUCUUGAGUGCAGUUGAGGCAGGCGGAAUUCGUGGUGUAGCGGUGAAAUGCUUAGAUAUCACGAAGAACUCCGAUUGCGAAGGCAGCCUGCUAAGCUGCAACUGACAUUGAGGCUCGAAAGUGUGGGUAUCAAACA
rnacentral:rRNA from 1 species